rnacentral:rRNA from 1 species
CCUACGGGGGGCUGCAGUCGAGAAUUUUUCUCAAUGGGGGAAACCCUGAAGGAGCGACGCCGCGUGGAGGAUGAAGGUCUUCGGAUUGUAAACUCCUGUCAUUUGGGAACUAGUACCAGAAGAGGAAGAGACGGCUAACUCUGUGCCAGCAGCCGCGGUAAUACAGAGGUCUCAAGCGUUGUUCGGAUUCAUUGGGCGUAAAGGGUGCGUAGGUGGCGGGGUUAGUCAGGUGUGAAAUCUCGGAGCUCAACUCCGAAACUGCACUUGAUACUGCCUUGCUAGAGUACUGGAGAGGAGAUUGGAAUUUACGGUGUAGCAGUGAAAUGCGUAGAUAUCGUAAGGAAGACCAGUGGCGAAGGCGAAUCUCUGGACAGUACUGACACUGAGGCACGAAGGCCAGGGGAGCAAACGGGAUUAGAUACCCUUGUAGUC